AGACGUGCGUAACACCCGCAAGUCGAACGAUGAUGCCCAGCGUAACAGGCGGAUUACUGGCGAACGGGUGAGUAACAAGUGAGUAACACGCCAGUGAAUUCGGGAUAACUCCGGGAAACCGCGGCUUAUACCGGAUAUGAGCCGUCCUCGCAUGAGGGUGGUUGGAAACUUUUUCGGCCAGGGAUGGGCUGGGGGCUAAUGGCUCAGCAGGUGGGGUGAUGGCAGCCCACGGCGGAGAGGGGUAGCCCACAUGAGAGGUCGACCGCCCACAAGAGUCCUGCGACACGCCCCAGUAUCGUAUGGUAGGCAGCAGUGGGGAAUAUGGCGCAGUAAGGGAGAGCGAGAGGCAGAGACGCUGGGAUAGGAAAGAUGGCUUUCGGGGGGUGAACAUCUUUCAGCAGGGAAGAAGGCCCAGUGACGGUACCUGCCGAAGAAGCCCCGGCUAACUACGUGCCAGCAGCCGCGGUAAUACGUAGGGGGCAAGCGUUGUCCGGAAUUAUUGGGCGUAAAGAGCUCGCAGGCGGUUUGUCGAGUCUGGUGUGAAAACCCGAGGCUCAACCGGGGAGGGUCUCGGGUACGGGCAGACUAGAGUGCGGUAGGGGAGACGUGGAAUUCCUGCGUGUAGCGGUGGAAUGCGCUAGAUAUCAGGAGGAACACCGAGUGGCGAAGGGCAGGAGUCUCUUGGUCUCUAACUGACGCUGAGAGCGAUUGAAUCAUU
rnacentral:rRNA from 1 species